GUUUCAUUUGCUAUUUGGACCUCUGAAGGUGGACAGAAGAUACAGAAAUCAACGCUCAGGCUUCGAAAAGACAUGACACACAAUUGAUAGCAAAAGCAUCCAGUGGGACUGAUGGUAGCCAGUGACAGCUGCCACCCUAAACAUGAGCUCGCAUAUUGAUGCAUGAACAAUUUUCUGACUUACGUAUGAAGGAGCGUCACUUAUAAUCAACCCUUCUGCAGAUAUUGUCCAAAGAAGAAUUGAAAUCUUUACAUAUCUAAUAUAGCCUACUAAAGCACACUAUUCAUUUGAGUUGCAUCUUCUGUCGGCUGUAAAAUGUUUUUAAAUCUGACAGAGACAGAAAUUGCAUCGCCAAAUCAAUGUACUAUAUUUAAGUUUAUAAAUGUAAAUGUUUUUUCUUCCUUUUUAUUUUUUAAUUGGUUGAAAAUGUUGUUUAGCUGAACAACAAAUGUAAACAUAACACUGCAUUCACACGGGCCGUCAGCGUUAAAGCUUCUCAUUUACUUUGAAUGGGUGCCGUCAUGCAUUGCCGAACUGAAUUGUGGGUUCCAUUGCCUCGCUUCACUCACUUUGCUUGCAGCAGAAGUUAAAGAUUUCUCAACUUUUCAAGCGCCAACGCAGCCAAUCUGAUUGCCUUAUGCAAACACCCUAGAGCAGUUGCUAGACAGUUGCGUUCAUGCAACACUGGAAAGUAAUGUGUUUGGCUGUUGUACUAUAGUCACGUCAGCUUAAGCUUCAGACACGUCCUUCGUCAAGCGUUCACGCCGACGCGCUGUGUGAAUGCAGCGUUAAUCGUAUAGUGAUGUUACUAUCUGCUUAUCUUCACCGAGAGAUGCACCGAUGCAUCGGCCGCCGAUAUUUAUGGACCGGUUUUUGAUCAAUUUACAACCAUCGGUAUAUCGGCUAUAGCAUGAAAAGGCCGAUAUAACAAACCAAUGGUUUAUUAAUUAAGGCACUGAGCUGUAUAAUUUCUGUUGCAUAAUCCAAGAUUAAUCCUAUUAUUCCCACUCUGCUGCUGUCUGCGUUUUAAUGUUAAUCAAACAACAAAAGACAAAAAGAAUUAAUAUGUAUAGGGCCCUAUGAUUUCCGCAAUGCGGAAAACGCAUAUGGAAUCAACGCAAUGUAAUAAUAAUAUAUGAAUUUCAUUUAUACGGUGAAGUAUAUGCAGUGUUAUUUUACAUUUGUUUACUUUAUUUAUGUAUCUGAAGACUGGAGAUGGUCCUCACUGCAGAACACGAGAUCUAGAUCCAACUCCUCCCACUUUACAUAUCCCUAAACCUACCUUCCUCUGCCCCCCUGGAUCUAAACCUACCCAUCUUCAACCCCUGAAUCUGGAUCCAACUCCUCCCACUUUACAUAUCCCUGCAUCUACCCGUCUCCACCCCCUGGAUCUAAACCUACCAGUCUCUGCCCUCUGGAUCUCGUGCAGUGAGGGGCUUCUGGGAAACUGUUACAACUCGAGGAGCACGGGCGUGUCUCUGCAGUGGCAUUAUGUCAUCAGCUUGCGAACACAGUUUACAGGGAAAGACCGAUGUAAGCCUGUGGCUGUAGGAUACAGUGUUUCCAAUGCCACUUGUCCUGUAUUUUUUCUUUCAAUAGUGAAUAGACCUAUAUUAAGGGUAACAUUUGUGCAACAGAAUGCAGUGUUAAAUUAAUACACACUAUUUGGUGUGACAUCUGGAUGGCAGCCACAAACAUCUUCAUUCAUGUUGUUUCUUUCUUUUUUAUAUGCAUUAUCUUUCCUUAUGUACUAAUUUCUUAAAAUAUUCAAUAUUCAUUUACUCAUUACUUUUCAUUAUAUUUUACUUUACUGUUACUUUUUAUUUACUUAUGUAUAUGUAAGCCUAUAUAUGUUGUGUGCUGUAUUGUCAUCUCAACUUCACAGUUGUGACUCAUUCAUUUCCUUUUUUUAUUUUGGCAAUGUUACAUUAUACGAUAACAACUGUAGAAUUUAUGCUGGUCAGACAAAGACUAAUCUGGUCUGAUAAAAUUCACCUAAGAUCAUUCAAUAAUUUUUUUUUUUUUUUUUCAUAAAAAUUUGCUUUCUGUUAUUUGUCUGUCUGCAUGUCUUUUGUAAAAGAGUUAACAUGGCAAGCUGUUGACAUGGUGUUGAAUAGGCCAAAAUCUGAUAUGUCAGGUCUAGUGAAGACUGGAUCUUACACAUUUAAUUCCUUAACUUUUCACCUGAUGUAUAACACUGAUAAAACAUUUGGCAUUAAACUUUAUAUAGUUUAAAAGAAAGGCCUCCUAGAAGGCACCAAGUCAAGGCCAAGACCAGAGUGUGUCCAGACCAAGACUUUGAGGGGCUGAGACAGAGACCAAGACCAGACCAGCACUCCUCACAUUCAUCUGAAACAUCCACUGUCUGAGAAAAGUCUUGAUGAAAUAAUAAACAUUAAUUUGAACUACAA